rnacentral:rRNA from 1 species
AGGCGAAACCGCGAACGGCUCAUUAAAUCAGUUAUGGUUCCUUAGAUCGUGACUUCCUACUUGGAUAACUGUGGUAAUUCUAGAGCUAAUACAUGCAGCGGAGCUCCGACCUUCGGUGACGAGCGCUUUUAUUAGAAAAGACCAAUCGGGCCGCGUCCGUACUGAUGGUGACUCUGGGUAACUUUGGGCUGAUCGCACGGGCUCGUCCCGGCGACGCAUCUUUCAAGUAUCUGACUUAUCAACUGUCGACGGUAGGUUACGCGCCUACCGUGGUCGUAACGGGUGACGGGGGAUCGGGGUUCGAUUCCGGAGAGGGAGCCUGAGAAACGGCUACCACAUCCAAGGAAGGCAGCAGGCGCGCAAAUUACCCACUCCCGGCACGGGGAGGUAGUGACGAGAAAUAACGAUACGUGUCUCUUUCGAGAACUCGUAAUCGGAAUGAGUACGCUCUAAAACGUCUAACGAGGACCCACGGGAGCACAAGUCUAGUGCCAGCACGUGCGGUAAUACCAGCUCCCGAAGCGUAUAUUAAAAUUGCUGCGGUUAAAAGGCUCCACGUUGGAUCUCAGUUCCAGACGCACGGUCCGCCUACCGGCGGUCACUGUCCGCUCUGAACAGCCAGCCGGUUUCCGUUGAUGAUCUUCAUCGGUUGUCUCUGGUGACCGGCGAUUUUACUUUGAAAAAAUUAGAGUGCUCAAAGCAGGCGCGACGCUUGUACAAUGGUGCAUGGAAUAAUGGAAU